rnacentral:ncRNA from 1 species
AAACUAUUGAAGAUAAGAUAAUUUAAUCACUAUUACACAGAAAGUCAUUAGUUGAUGAGAAUAUGACUAAUAUAUUAAAUUAUUACUACUUCAUAAUGAUAUUUGUAAUGAAUAUCCGGCUCGAGACCGUUAUCUCAUGUAGAGUAGCUUAGUUAUUAUUUUUAUAAAGCUGAGCAACUAGGGUGGUACCACGACAAACUCGUCCCUUGU